CUAUUUAAAGUGGAGCAAUCUAACGCCCAUCUCCUUCGGCCCUGACUGUCUUUUCCCUCCAAUUGAUUGUCACGUCUGCGGCGGUUUUCCUAAGACUAGGGUAAAGGGAGGACGAUAUUAAACUCGACAGUGAAUGAGUUUACAUAUGCCCAGAGAUAAGAUAUCUUCGUCGGGAUUGCUCGAAAUUGAAGGUGUUUUUAGGGUUUCGGUUAAACAUUUUUCAAGCUGGGCAUCUUGGUGGAAGCAGUCAUCAUAGGAUCCUCGAGGGCUGAAUCCGUGUGGUAAAAGUAGAGUGGUCUGUGAGUGGAGACAGUUAUGACUUUGGUAGAAGUAGGUAAAGAAGAGUCUCUAGUGGGUCUAGAUAAGGAUGAGGAAGUUGAAUUUGUCUGGGGCAGAAAGAGAGGUAUUGGUGGUAAGAGAAAGGAGGUACAGUUUUAUGAAUCUUUUAUCUAUGAUGGUGUGGAGUAUACUUUAUAUGACUGUGUAUACAUGCACAAAGAAGGUGAACUUCCUUACAUUGGUAAGAUCAUAAAGAUAUGGGAAAAUCCAGACAAGUCUAGGAAGGUUAAGAUCCAGUGGUUUUUUCGGUCGACAGAGAUCUUGUAUCACCUGAAAGAUGUUAAGGUAGCUGAGAAUGAAGUAUUUCUUGCCUCUGGUGAAGGCACAGGAUUGGCCAAUGUUAAUCCUCUGGAAGCUAUUGCUGGCAGAUGUAAUGUUAUCUGCACUUCAGAGGACAACAGAAAUCCGCAGCCAUCAGAUGAAGAAGUUAAAUUGGCUGACUAUGUUUUCUACCGUGCUUUUGAUGUUGGAACUUGUGCAAUUUUGGAUAAGAUGAUUGACAAAGUUGGUGGGCUGGACGUCAAGUAUGUUUUUAACAGGAAAGAUAGUGAAAAGGCCAGUCAUGUCCUCAAAUUUGCUUCUGACAAGAAAGAUAACAAAGCUGCCAUGGAAUAUCGAGCUAAUGGGGAGUCCUCUGGGCUAAAACCACAGAAUCAUGCCAAAGUGAGUCAUUUACUUGGAAAAAGUGAUGUAGAUGGACCAAGUUCUCUUGUUAGACAGGACAUACAGAGAGAUACAAAUGUUUCAUCUGUUAAUCAGGAAACUGUUAAGGAAGUGAAUUAUGUCCCUGGUGAGAAAAACUCACAUGAUUUGGGAGUUGCAAAAGUUGCUGGUAAAUCAAGUCAUUUAGUGGGAAGAAAUGAUGUCGAUGCACAAAGUUCACCGAUUAGAGAGGAUGCCUUACAUGGAGAUGCAAAUGAUUCUCAAAAUGAGCAGCAAUCAACAAUGAAAGGAAAUGCUGCGCCGAUGCUGGCUGUUAACAGCAAAAUAGCCACUACAAUUGUUCACAACCAAAAUACUUCAAGUGAAGAAAAUGCACUCUACACGGUUAAGAAUGAUAAAAAAGUUAAUACACUCUCAAUAGAACUCUUAGUAGCUGGCGAAAGAGGAAAACCUUCGAAGGAUCUUGGCAUUUUGGACGAUAGGCCUUCAAAACGAAUAAAAGUAAAUGGUUCUGUGACACUAUCAGAGGACAAGGGUGGGGACAGUGUACAGAAGUUCACUGUUUGCACAAAUGACAAAGAGGUUAUGGGAACAGGUGCCACUCCUGAAGAAAGAAAGAAAUCUGGUGAUAGUAAGCUUUCUGGUGGACUGGACAAGAACAUGCAGAACAGAAACGAUGGUGCUGCCUUGGAUAUCAGGCCUCCAAAGAAGGCAAACAUAGACUCUGUUAAAGUAAAAGAGGAUAGAGAUAGAGGUAACAUGUCAAUUGGUAAGCUUGUUGACAAUAUAGGCAAGUUGCCUAAAUUAUCUGCUGGAGUAUCCCCCAAGGAAGUUGAGAGCAUGGGAGGCAAGAGCUUCAUAAUCACGCGGAGACCCAUUGCAGAGUCGAGCAAGUGGUUCGAGGCACCUCCUUGGGAGGAGGUGUUGCAAACAUCAAAUCUGGAAAGGGCCCUUAUCUUACUCGAAAAUUUGAAUCCUGGAUAUACAUCAGGAGAGGUGGAGGAUAUUAUCUGGCAUGCAUGUAGGGAAAACUGCACAGCCAAAAUGGUUCAGCGCACUGCUUUCUCUAGUCCGUACUCUGGUAGAGCAUUAGUUGCAUUCAAAACAAGAGAAGCAGCAGUAAGGGUCAGUAAAAAGCUGACUGAGGGAUGCUUAAUGGUGUCAAAUCAGAGGCCGCUUGUUGCUAGCUUUGUAACUCUUCCGAAAACGGAAGGAAACACUCCAUCAUUUGCUGGGCAUCUAUGUGUUGACAAACUAAGGCUACAAUCCCAGCGGGAAAUGAAAGAAGCAGUUUCUACUUCUCAUUGUUCUCAGCCCAACACCAUAGAGCAUGAAAUGGGCAUUGAGUGGCUCUUACUGCAAUCAAGAUCUGACAGUUGGUGGAAUCGGCUAUAUAAGCAACAAAAAGAGGAACUUAGGAAAAUAGCGUCAGAACUCAAGAGAAAAUGAGAAGCAAGCUGCAGUUUUGUACAUAGUGUACUUCUGUACAGAUUUCUGACUUCUUGGACCUGACUUCUGGUAAUGGUGUUCUUGCAAUUAGUUCAUUGGAGUCAUGCAAGUCUUUUGUUCGAUUGACACAUCUGGUGGUUCAGGAUAGAUGACUAAUAGACACUCACUCCUCCAAGCUCUUGGCAUUUUUGGAUGUACCAUAAUCCUUCCUACCUUCCUUGGUGACCUCAACCUCAUAGUUGGGGCAAUUGAUUAAUGUCAAAGUCACAAAGUUUAGCUUGCAGCAAUAUACAUAUUUCUAUCCGAAAUUUUGCUCAAUGAAUCACUCUGGCAUAAUCUUUUGUUCAACAUAUCUUUAAAUUAAAAAUAGAAUCUCUUAUCUUUGGUUCUUAAUUAGAAUCAUCAAAUGGAACUAAACAUGUUCCCAUUGAACGAGCAUCGGGAUCAUUUGUUUAUUGAUCAUCUUGGCAAAUGGUAUUAAGUUUGAACAUG